UACGGGGGGUGCGAGCGUUGUCCGGAAUCACUGGGCGUAAAGGGCGCGUAGGUGGUUUGAUAAGGGUGUGGUGAAAGUCCGGAGCUCAACUCCGGAUCUGCCGUGCCGACUGUCAAACUCGAGGGCUGUAGAGGCAGACGGAAUUCCGGGUGUAGCGGUGGAAUGCGUAGAGAUCCGGAGGAAGACCGGUGGCGAAGGCGGUCUGCUGGGCAGUUUCUGACACUGAGGCGCGACAGCGUGGGGAGCAACAGG
rnacentral:rRNA from 1 species